rnacentral:lncRNA from 1 species
CUGACAUUAACUCCGAUUGGGUUGUGUAUAUUUCGUCUUACCUUACUUUGGUUGAAGCUACAUUAGAGUCCGCUCCACAAUUAACCAUUCAAAUUAACCUGCUAAUUACGGACAUGCAUACUGACACUACGUAUUCACGUGAGUAAUUAUACAUGUUAUACAAUAUACCAUGUAUGAAGUAGGAAUGCAUUAAACAUCAUUCCAAUGAAAAAGGUUAUCUCAUCUCUGUUUAAGUAUGUUUUAUGGAUAUGUCCUUUACAGUUAUAUUCAAUAGCUCGCUUCUUGGUACAUUUAUUUAACAGUUAAGCACCUUAAGUUUGUCCUUUACGCUCUUUGACCUUUUUUUUAUUUAUUAACUUAGAAUGGGGAAUGCAAAGGUUUUUCAUUGAUUUUGAUGUCUGAUAUUUUCCUUAAUACAAACUUCAAUUCAUCUUUUCUUUAAAAAAAAAACCCGAUGUUAUAACGUUAUUUAAGAAACACACUCUCUGAAGCUUAAAUACUUUCAAACUCACUGAGAUGUCCUAAAAUUGGUUGUUGCAAGGCAAAUAUUCUUUAUAUAGAACGAACAGCUUAAUAUUAAGUGUCAGUCUAAAUUUCCCGUAUAUAUCACUGUUUACUCCCCUAACAGAACCAACACAUUAUAUUAUCUAUUCAUAGGUUCAUGCUGAACUGACAAUUAUUAUAUGCUGACAUCAAUGACAUUGUAUGACACACGAAAAAGUCGAUAUUUGCAAAACGUUGAUGCCUUUGAUGAUACUUAUUGUAUUGUAUUCGCAUGAUAUACAUUUACACAAUGCAUAUAAGAGUUGCGGAACGGAAAACUUUUUUUAUCGAACUCAAAUCAGGAUUCAUCGAAUUUGCAUGUCAUUAGCUGCUUUAAUUUAAGAUACGCACGUACGCAAUGUUCGGUAUAUCAACAAUGUUUAUCUUUCCUUUAUAAUGUAAAAAUAAUUCUAUUUUUUCUUGUACUACAGGAAUUCUUCGUUAUGUUAGUAUAACUACAUCUUUCCUUGGACUUGCUUGGUCUUUGAAUGCCUUCAAGCAUCAACAUCGUAAAAAAGAACAGAUGGAAGACGACAGCAUGUUAGUUAAACUCGUUCACUGGAUAUCGCGGUUUGCUGAGAUAUUACCACGCAUUAUUCUUAUUGCCCUCGUAGCCGCUGAGUA